rnacentral:snoRNA from 1 species
UUGCAAGCCUCCAGCGUGCUUGGGUCUGCAGUGACCCUGUGCAAACAGUGCUUGUGAGAACAGGCUUGAAAUGGUUUCAGGCCUUGCUCUGCUCCCUCUACAGCUCAAGGCAAUAGAAAUUUCAGACAGUU